GGCCGGGGUAGAAGCCCAGGUCAGCGCGUUGCGGUUGGCGCUCUGUAAAUCCGUCGCGAAAGCUUCAGAGGUUCGAAUCCUCUACCCGCCACCA
rnacentral:tRNA from 1 species